AGGGUAAAUAAAGGCGCUGUGCCCUGUAAUUAUACAAACUGAACCAUCUCAGGAGGUAUUUAAACUAUUUGGGGGUUGCAGGUGGAGGAGGGUUUCUUGGCGGUAGUUGUUCAUUGAAAUCUCUUACAGGAUUUUUUUUUUUUUGAAACCUAGUCUGUGAUGCAAAACCUGCUGUGCUAAAUUAUGAACCAAAGGCUUUGGGGUGGGAACAAUCAAUCAAAAUACCUGGGGUAGUGUGUAAUGUGCAUGCUCUUGUCAGCAUGAACAGGCUGCCCCUGAACACAGUCCCCCAGCAGGUUAAAUAAAUAUGAUACUGUAGACAAACCGACAGGAUCACACGGCUGCAUCAAUCAGCUGUUGAUAAAAUACAAUCUUCCUUUAAUACACGCUGAGAAAGUUAUUUAACACUUACAAAACCUAUAUCCAUUUCUUGUCCUCUUUUUUUUUUUUUUUUUAAGUCUUCGAAAGUCUAACUCUUUUAAAGGACGCGGGAGAAGACGAUGCGCUAUCCCGGGGGAAGGAAGAUUUGAUGGCGCCAAAGAAACAGCGCCUUCUCACACAGUUUCAUGGCUCUUUCACUAGACAGAAGUUUUCGCAGCAGCUGUUCUGCACACGGUGAGAGGGUGCAAACUCAGAGGAAGACCCAAGGUGGAAGCGUGUAUGGGACACAACACAGAUAAUAGGGGGAGCAUCCCCGUUCUCACCGAAGUCCAGAAGGAAGCAGAGCCCGGGGGAGAGGAAACGUGCAGACUUCCUUCUUGUAACCGAACUGGCAAAGUAGCAAAACUGGGCGGAGGCGGCGGCAGGGGCCAGUUCCCUGGGACACCGGUCGCUGCGUUGGCUUGACUCUAGGAGGGGGGCGGAGGGAGGGUCGUGGGGGCUCGGGGCCCGGGGUGGGGGUGGGGGGCUCGGCG